UGAAGCUGGAAUCGCUAGUAAUCGCAGGUCAGCAUACUGCGGUGAAUACGUUCCCGGGUCUUGUACACGCCGCCCGUCACACCAUGGGAGCCGGAAAUGCCCGAAGCCAGUGACCCAACCUUAGGGAGGGAGCUGUCGAAGGUGGAGCCGGUAACUGGGGUGAAGUCGUAACAAGGUACC
rnacentral:rRNA from 1 species